rnacentral:lncRNA from 1 species
AGACCUCCGAGCUCCCGUCCCCGGGAGGGUGACAACCGCCAGCCGGCCCACCUCCUCAGUCCCCAUUGGCUACAAGGCGCCACUGCCGCGCUAUGGCUGGGGCUUCCCAGCCAGAGCAGGAGAAUGACGGCCGCUCCCUCCCGCGCCGGAAAGGAGGCAUCACCCUGCACGUUCCCCACCGCUGCGUCAGUGCAGAUACUGAGUGUUAAUUGUCAAGUUGGAGGUACCCAGAAGCACCUGAGAGAUGGGCUUCUGGGCAUGCCUGUGGGGGACGAUCAUAAAUGAACUGAUGCAGGAAGACCCAUCUGAACUGAGGGCAGGACCUGGUGUGGAUCCUGGACUGUAUAAAACGGAGCGAUGAAGCUAAGAGAAACAUGCCCUUCUUGCCUUCUGCUUCCUGAUUGUAGAUGGGAUGUGAUCAGCUGCAUCAGGAUCCUGCUACGGAUGCCCUUGCCUGAACCGUGAGCCAGAAUGAACCAUUUUCCCUUGA